UGGGGAAUAUUGCGCAAUGGGCGAAAGCCUGACGCAGCAACGCCGCGUGAGUGAUGAAGGCCUUCGGGUCGUAAAGCUCUGUCGGAGGGAACGAAUGCUCCUGAAGUUAACAGCCUCAGGAGGUGACGGUACCCUCAAAGGAAGCACCGGCUAACUCUGUGCCAGCAGCCGCGGUAAUACAGAGGUUGCAAACGUUGUUCGGAAUCACUGGGCAUAAAGCGCACGUAGGCGGUCUGUUAAGUCAGGUGUGAAAGCCCCCGGCUCAACCGGGGAACAGCAUUUGAUACUGGCAGACUCGAGGAUGGUAGGGGUGAGUGGAACUCCAGGUGGAGCGGUGAAAUGCGUAGAUAUCUGGAGGAACACCGGUGGCGAAAGCGGCUCACUGGACCAUAACUGACGCUGAGGUGCGAAAGCUAGGGUAGCAAACGGGAUUAGAUACCCCCGUAGUCCCUGAGCGGGCUGGCAAGGCGCAU
rnacentral:rRNA from 1 species